rnacentral:lncRNA from 1 species
UGGAUCGACGACUAGAAGGACUGUUUACCUUGCAUUUAUAGGCCUUGUAGUAGUUGGAAUUGCAGAUGUUUUCAUCUCUUCGUCCUCUGACUGGAGAAAAGGUGCAGUUCUUGGGAUUAUUUUGGUGUGUUUGCUUUCUCAAGUCAUCUAUGAGCAGAGUGUAUUAUCAGAAACAGAAUUGGAGGGAAAACAGAAAUCCAAAGAAAACAAAAAGUAAAACAACUAGUAUUGUAGCAUGAGUUAUAACCUCAAAUAUAAUUUUAUUACUCAAGGCUGAUAUAUCGAUGAUUAGGUCGUCUAGAUCACGGAUACUUUCUGGUUUUCCGAAUUAUUGCAGUUGUUAAAGGAAAUUCAAAGACGAACAGUACAUUUACUACUAUUAUUAUCAUGUUAUUCACAUAAAAAGUCCAAUACUGUUAAUUAAAUUGUGUUCCCUUUACUGUUCCUCUCCUAACUACACACUUGGAUAAACUUGUACUACUACAAAAAGCAGCAAUAGGCAUAUUAUAGUCAAAAUUCAGUACACAUGAGAUCAUAAUAUCUGGUGCACUGACUAGGUGCAUUUAACAUCUUUAAAAUCCGUCUUUCAGGGAAAGUCUCAAGCACAGAGAAAUAUCAGCGAACUUGUAGCAAAGAAAGAGAAUCAAUGAAUGUCAUAAAAAACCAAGAUGCACACAACAGAAUAACCCAUGCAUGAUAGUUACAGUAUAACUUUUACCCAAUAUAGCCUGGCAUGCUAAUGAUAAUAUGAUAUAAUCACCUGAGGUGAAAGGAGAUUUCUCUUACGGUUCAAAGCAGGAAGCAUGGUAUUGUAGAACAAAUUUGC